UUGGAUAGAAGUGCCUACACGCGAUUUACGCUGAUAGUUGAAGGACCUACUUGCUGUAAAACUCUGUACCGCAGAGAAGAGUCGCGGAGUUGGCAGUACCUUCCUGUGCUGAUGUUGUCACACGAGGAAGGUCUGGCUACCUCGGUGCUUCUUCUCUCCUGAUACGUUUUACGCCCGGUUUGUCCGUAAUUAUUGACGGGGAGGCGCGUGUUGGGAGUUUGGUCCGUUGAAUGAGAUUCCCCACUGCUGCCUCCCGUAAAAGCCUUCGAUACUGCCUGAUUUGAGUAUGUGAGAGGUGUGCGGAAUUCCUGGUGUAGCGGUGGAAUGCGUAAAUAUCAGAAAGAACACCGAUGGCAAAGGCAGCCCACUGGCUCAAUACUGACGCUGAGGCCCGAAAGCCUUGGGAGCAAACAGGAUUAGAUACCCUGGUAGUCCACGCUGUAAACAAUGAGUACCGGGUUUCGAUUGUCUAAACCCUCUCGGAGCCGUAGCUAACGCGUUAAGAAUACCGCCUGGUGAGUGCGGUCGCAAGGCUGAAACUCAAUGGAAUCGAGGGGUUCCCGCACAAGCUUUGGAGCAUGUGCUUUAAUUCGAGGCAAC
rnacentral:rRNA from 1 species